UGACCUCACGAAGGUUGGAUUUCCAUUUUCUGAAGGACCAUUGUGUGGCCCAAGCACCUUCCUGAACCCUGCUUCAUACCUGCUUGGCUCUGCCUUCAUCGCGCUCAUGCCCACGCAUGCAUCUUGAGCCCAUCAUUGAUGCCAGCUCUCAGUACAGCUGAGCAUAUGCUGAGAUCUCGUUAAUGGCAAUUAAACUGGAGCGCGUGGUUAAGUACCUUGCAGAAGGUAGCUGCUUUGCUGUGUCACUUCUUAAAGAGCAUCCCUGCCAAAUUUCAGAAUUUUAAUCUCUUCACUAUUGACUCUGGGUGCUGUCGGCCCGCUUCCUCCUUUUGUUGCAAUCUCUCCAUCUAAAGCAUGAUUUCUCUAACAAUGAGCGCUCUCCUCGCGAUGGGCUGAAGAGGAGCUGAGCUGCUGGCACGCGGGAGCCCACGCCAUGCUUCAGAAUGAGCUCAGCAAGUUAUUAUUCUGUGCAAGCACGAUGCCCUCCCAGGACAACACUACAGGACGGCAUUUGCUUGGAUAAAACAGUUUGCCAACACUUGCUAUUGAGGAAAUUUGUGGUCUGUGCAUUGGGGAAUGACUCAGUGGAGCCAGGAGCUGUCUGAAAGCCCCCACUGAGGAUUUGCUCUGAGUACAGCCUGCGGGGCUGGUGGGUGGGCAAACAAUGUGGCUCAGGAGCUCCUGUUCAAUAAAAUGAAUUUGUCUCCAAAUAGACUUCGCCUUGUUUCACUCAAAAUACUUCAUUUUUCUGCACUAAAACACAAGAGAAGAGAAGGUUUAGUUGAAAAGCUGUCAUGCACCAGUGAUGCCUAUCUCCAACCAUAACUGGCUCCCAUGCAGCUGCCUUG